ensembl:snRNA U1 U1 spliceosomal RNA
CUACGUACCUGGCAGGGGAGAUGCCAUGAGCACGAAGGUGGUUUUCCCAGGGUGAGUCUUACACCCAUUGCACUCCUGAUGUGCUGAUCCCUGCGAUUUCCCCCAAUGUGGGAAAACUGACUGCAUAAUUUGUGGUAGUUGGGGACUGCAUUCACUAUUUCCCCUAA